GUGCUCCUUCAGCUGCACAAAUACUAAAACUGGAACACUAUAGAGAAGAUUAGCAUGGCCCCUGUGCAAGGAUAACACACAAAUUCAUGAAGCGUUCCAUAUUAAA
ensembl:snRNA U6 U6 spliceosomal RNA